rnacentral:rRNA from 1 species
UGAAAUAGCUAAAACAUCCUAAACGUGCCUGAUCCUGUCUGAUCUUGGAAGCUAAGCGGGGUCGGGCCUGGGUUAGUACUUGGUUGGGAGACCACCUAGGAAGACCAGGUGCUGUAGGUA